AUGUCUUUAUUCAUCAAUAUCUUCUCUUCUGUGUCAUUCUCAUAAUGUCCAGCAGCUCUUCCAGGUUCUACAUCAGAACGCCGACUCAGUAAUGUAAAACAUUUCCUUGUCAUGGUGAGCAGCUGUCCAAUGGGAAACAAAAAAAUAAAAAAUAAAAAAAAAAUGAUAAGGUGAUAAUUAAACGGUGACAUGGGGUUAAUUUAUUUUGUAUAUUUUAAAGUUCAGGCUUGGGUAAAGUGAUGAAAUGUCUCGAAACGAGUUGAAUACGGUAAAAGAAAUCUCACACAGAACAGAAUAAAAUCGCUAGAAUGUAAAAUAAGGUAAAUGUGAUGAACACACUGAACAUAUUCAAUCUUAGCAGCACAUGCUGUUGUAAAUCCUGCCCACUUGUUUGCAUUGUGACACAUGCUUCAGUGCUCUGAGAGUGUUUAUAGUGCUGUGAGUUUAACACUUCAUGACUGAGAGCAGAACAGAACACAAUCUUCAUCAUCACACAAGACAAAAGAACAACAAUGAACACAAUCACCUUCUUCAUCUGGACUCUCACACUGUUUGCUCAAGAAUCCAGAGGAGUGACUCUGACUCAACCUGAAGUUAAAACUGUCCAACAGGGUCAAACAGCUACAAUAGAGUGUAGUUUGGAUGUUGCACUAACCUCUAAUGACUUAGCCUGGUAUCAGCAGAAACCUGGAGAAGCUCCUAAACUCCUGAUUUAUUACAUAAACAGCCUUCAGUCAGGAACUCCAUCUAGAUUCAGUGGCAGUGGAUCUGACUAUGGCAGUGAUUUCACUCUGACCAUCAGUGGAGUCCAGACUGAAGAUACAGGAGAUUAUUACUGUCAGAGUUACCACAGUGGUCCAGUGUUCACACAGUGAUAAAGAGUGGUACAAAAACCUCGGUCAGUCAGACGUCACAGUGAUGCACUGAUACAGCUGAGAGAUACUGCAGCUGCUGAUGGAGGAUCACAAACAAC